rnacentral:rRNA from 1 species
AAUGAACGUUGGCGGCGUGGAUUAGGCAUGCAAGUCGAGCGAGAACCCAGCAAUGGGGGACAGCGGCGCAAGUGACAGUAAUGUGUAGAUUAUCUGCCCUCGGGUCCGGGAUAGCUGCGGGAAACUGCAGGUAAUACCGGAUAACAUCUCCGGAUCCACGGUCUGAUUCCGCCCGAGGAUGAGUCUGCAUCCUAUUAGCUAGUUGGAAGGGUAAUGGCCUACCAAGGCGAUGAUGGGUAGCGGGUGGGAGAGCACGACCGGCGUCAUUGGGACUGAGACACUGCCCAGACACCUACGGGUGGCUGCAGUCGAGAAUCUUCGGCAAUGGGCGCAAGCCUGACCGAGCGACGCCGCGUGUGGGAUGAAGGCCUUCGGGUUGCAAACCACUGUCAGAGGGGAUGAAAUGCAGGUGGGUUCUCCCAUCUGUUUGACAUAGCCUCAGAGGAAGGACGGGCUAAGUUCGUGCCAGCCGCCGCUGUAAUAC